rnacentral:rRNA from 1 species
UACGUAGGUGGCAAGCGUUGUCCGGAUUUAUUGGGUUUAAAGGGUGCGUAGGCGGUUCUGUAAGUCAGUGGUGAAAUACUCUAGCUUAACUAGAGGGGUGCCAAUGAUACUGCAGAACUUGAGUACAGAUGAGGUAGGCGGAAUUGACGGCGUAGCGGUGAAAUGCAUAGAUAUCGUCAAGAACACCGAUAGCGAAGGCAGCUUACUGGGCUGUAACUGACGCUGAGGCACGAAAGUGUGGGGAGCAAACAGG